rnacentral:misc_RNA from 1 species
AAGUCGUAACAAGGUUUCCGUAGGUGAACCUGCGGAAGGAUCAUUACAAAUCUCGCGAGUUUGGGCUUGGUGGUGGUAAAACAUCUCCUUGCCCGAAUGAGCACAUUGGCUCAAGGCCGCAAGGUCUUGAUGUUUACGCUUGUUUGUUUGACAGAGUAAAAUGUGACUAAAUAUAUACAACUUUUAACAAUGGAUCUCUUGGCUCUU